rfam:Auxenochlorella protothecoides strain 0710 unplaced genomic scaffold scaffold33, whole genome shotgun sequence.
GCCCGGAUAGCUCAGUCGGUAGAGCGCAAGGCUCUUAACCUUGUGGUCGUGGGUUCGAGCCCCACUUCGGGCG